rnacentral:lncRNA from 1 species
AUGUAUCCAUUUUUAUGUCAACGAGAUAACAGAUUAACACCACAUGCUAAUACUGUACCAAUCACUGCCUACUGAGUUAUAGGCAGCAUCAAAACAUGCAGACGUAUAAUCAUUUAUUCUUUUCACAGGUGGAGUAGAAAAACUAUAAAUUAUAUCCCAUCUAUAACGCUGAUGAUGAGAAAUUGGAUAAGCUCAGCAGCAGCACCAAAUCAAUCCAAUUUCAAGAGUAAAAUUAACUGAAAAUAAACAAUAAUAUAUAAGGAUUUACAAAAUCAAAUAAAAUGUAGAGUUCUAAGACAGUUACAACCAUAACAGUAGCUGAUCCUCAAAACUAUAUAUUUUUAUACACACACGCACAAAAUUCUCACAGGAAAAAAGAAACUGCACAGAUUCGAACAAAAACCACAAAUCAUAAUAGACAUAAGCUCACACAAAAUGAUCAUAACAGAAAAAAAGCAUGUAUCUUUGUUGUUGAAAUCAAACAACCCCAUUUUAAAAGAAUAUUAAGAGUAGGUAUACACAAAAUAAGCAAUGAAACUUACAGGUCGAAGUCGAGAAGGGCAGCGUCAAAUAGACAGCAAGAAAUGUUGAAUUGAGAUGAAGGUGAAUGUUUGAGGAAUUCGGUCAGUAAUUCAAUUAGGGUUUAGUCGAGGUUCUUCUAUAAUGGACUAUCAU